rnacentral:rRNA from 1 species
ACGGAGCACGCCGCGUGAGUAUGAAGGUUUUCGGAUCGUAAAACUCUGUUGUUAGGGAAGAACAAGUGCAUAGUAACUGAUGGCACCUUGACGGUACCUAACCAGAAAGCCACGGCUAACUACGUGCCAGCAGCCGCGGUAAUACGUAGGUGGCAAGCGUUGUCCGGAAUUAUUGGGCGUAAAGCGCUCGCAGGCGGUUCUUUAAGUCUGAUGUGAAAUCUUACGGCUCAACCGUAAACGUGCAUUGGAAACUGGGGAACUUGAGUGCAGAAGAGGAGAGUGGAAUUCCACGUGUAGCGGUGAAAUGCGUAGAGAUGUGGAGGAACACCAGUGGCGAAGGCGACUCUCUGGUCUGUAACUGACGCUGAGGAGCGAAAGCGUGGGGAGCGAACAGGAUUAGAUACCCUGGUAGUCCACGCCGUAAACGAUGAGUGCUAGGUGUCAGGGGGUUUCCGCCCCUUAGUGCUGAAGUUAACGCAUUAAGCACUCCCGCCUGGGGA